AUCACCUCCACUUGUCCCAG
rnacentral:misc_RNA from 1 species